UACAGAGGGUGCGAGCGUUGUUCGGAAUUACUGGGCGUAAAGCGCGCGCAGGCGGCCCUUUAAGUCCGUCGGUCAAAUGCCGGGGCUCAACCCCGAUGCAUGCCGAGGAUACUGGAGGGCUGGAGACACGUAGAGGCAAGCGGAAUUCCGGGUGUAGCGGUGGAAUGCGUAGAUAUCAGGAAGAACACCCGUGGCGAAGGCGGUUCUCUGGGACGGUACUGACGCUGAGACGCGAAAGCGUGGGGAGCGAACAGG
rnacentral:rRNA from 1 species